rnacentral:tRNA from 1 species
GGCUCCGUGGUCAAGCGGUUAAGACAUCGCCCUUUCACGGCGGUAACACGGGUUCGAUUCCCGUCGGAGAAU